CAGUCGUACUUAUGGGUAAUCAGCCUUUUGGGUGUGAUUUUGUGGAACGUGAGGAGUUAAACGCCUUCAUGCCUGCGUAUUCGUGCACUUUGGGUGUACUUGCCCGUGUGUAAGUUAACAUCAAUUUGGUGGUCAUAAAAUGGCUGGAGGAAUGUAGCUUCGAUCUCGUAUUGAAGUUGUUAUAGCCCUUCGGUAGAUGUGAUGAUCGGGGAUUGGAGGAUUGCAACGGAUACCCGUUCGGGGCUACCUGUCUGGUCUCUGAUCGUUGCUCGUGGUG
rnacentral:rRNA from 1 species